GUGAAAACAAUGAAGCCCGCGUCAGCGCGCCCGCGCGCGCAUGGUGAUCUGGGUGUCGCGCAAAAGGUGAGCGUUGAUCUGACACGCGCGCUGAAAGACACACAGGUUGGGGCCGACAGUCAGAUGAAAAACAAAAUCCUUCCGAGGAUUCCAUCUGAGAAAGUGGGGAGGCAGCCGAUGGAGGACAUUGACGCCAUGUUCAGUGACCUCCUGGGAGAGAUGGACCUCCUCACUCAGAGCCUGGGUCAGGAAACGGGACCUGCGGCAGAUCUCCCCAGCUCCACCAAGAAGGUCACCUUCUCCACUGACUAUGCAGACUUGAAUGGUGAGAGCCGAGUGCUUUUGUUGAGCUUUUGCACAAUCAUUGGACUGUG
rnacentral:lncRNA from 1 species